UUUUUGGUGGCCGAAAAAUUAGGCAAUAAACUUUUAAUUUAUAUAUGAGGAGACUCCCUUGCGUUGAUU
rnacentral:tRNA from 1 species